UUCUCGUUGAUGAUCGGUGCUUGCACCGAGAUUCAACAUGGAACGAGUGGCGGACGGGUGAGUAACACGUGGGUAACCUGCCCUUAAGUGGGGGAUAACAUUUGGAAACAGAUGCUAAUACCGCAUAGAUCCAAGAACCGCAGGGUUCUUGGCUGAAAGAUGGCGUAAGCUAUCGCUUUUGGAUGGACCCGCGGCGUAUUAGCUAGUUGGUGAGGUAAUGGCUCACCAAGGCGAUGAUACGUAGCCGAACUGAGAGGUUGAUCGGCCACAUUGGGACUGAGACACGGCCCAAACUCCUACGGGAGGCAGCAGUAGGGAAUCUUCCACAAUGGACGCAAGUCUGAUGGAGCAACGCCGCGUGAGUGAAGAAGGCUUUCGGGUCGUAAAACUCUGUUGUUGGAGAAGAAUGGUCGGCAGAGUAACUGUUGUCGGCGUGACGGUAUCCAACCAGAAAGCCACGGCUAACUACGUGCCAGCAGCCGCGGUAAUACGUAGGUGGCAAGCGUUAUCCGGAUUUAUUGGGCGUAAAGCGAGCGCAGGCGGUUUUUUAAGUCUGAUGUGAAAGCCCUCGGCUUAACCGAGGAAGCGCAUCGGAAACUGGGAAACUUGAGUGCAGAAGAGGACAGUGGAACUCCAUGUGUAGCGGUGAAAUGCGUAGAUAUAUGGAAGAACACCAGUGGCGAAGGCGGCUGUCUGGUCUGUAACUGACGCUGAGGCUCGAAAGCAUGGGUAGCGAACAGGAUUAGAUACCCUGGUAGUCCAUGCCGUAAACGAUGAAUGCUAGGUGUUGGAGGGUUUCCGCCCUUCAGUGCCGCAGCUAACGCAUUAAGCAUUCCGCCUGGGGAGUACGACCGCAAGGUUGAAACUCAAAGGAAUUGACGGGGGCCCGCACAAGCGGUGGAGCAUGUGGUUUAAUUCGAAGCAACGCGAAGAACCUUACCAGGUCUUGACAUCUUUUGAUCACCUGAGAGAUCAGGUUUCCCCUUCGGGGGCAAAAUGACAGGUGGUGCAUGGUUGUCGUCAGCUCGUGUCGUGAGAUGUUGGGUUAAGUCCCGCAACGAGCGCAACCC
rnacentral:rRNA from 1 species